AGGAUGCGAGCUUUCCCCCAGGUAUUUACAACUUCAUGUAAACAAAGGUAGCAAAACUUUAUUCUCAGCAUCAUCUAAUUUAUUCUAGAGUCAGCAACAGAUAGAUUAACUACCACCCCCGUACUAAUACUUGAGCUGGACCACCUAAAAGUACUGCCGUUGUGCAAAUACAAAUGAGGACAAUUGUGUUUCCCAGUAGACAAUACAAGCUUUGUUCGUUCUAUACAUGGUAGCUUUCUGUGUGGGAUUCUUUUUUUUCCCUCCAUAGAGUGGUAGUAAAACUGCAGUCUUCCCAUCCUGUCUUGGGCUCUGAGGCUGUAAGACUGUUGAGUGUGAUUUUUUUCCCUUAUCUAAGCCUCUCAGGGAUGGUCGCUCGGGAUCAGACAGGCAAUGCCACAGCCUUUCCCAGACAGGAAAAAGUGGCCCCAGAGGAAAAGACUGAGCAGGUCUCUGCUUAGAUGGAUCUGGCAGCUUUACUUGGAGAAAGAGUUACUGUUUCUGGUGGGAGACCUUCUUUUCUCUCUGGUAUUUCUCAAGGAUAUCCCUUGUUCUCAUCUUCCCCUGCUGCCAUCCAAAUCUCAGAAGAACAGUAAUAUAAGCAAUCCUUGUCUGGAUCCCAGGGAAAUGACAAGGGUCAGAAAGGCCUUGGUCUCAUCUCCUCUUCCUAUACUGAAAGACACACACGGGAUCCUUGUUUCCAAGCUGCAUAAGGCCUGAACAUGCGGGCUCAACUCAGAGCACAGACUUCAGUCCCAGACUGAAGCAGUUUGGGUUCAGAUCACAAAAUCUGUCAGGUCUAUAUUUGUAGCACCCAAUGCCACUAGGUUGGCUGGGAUUCAAGCCUUGGACAUGGAUCCCAUUACUAACAGAAGAACAGAAAGAAGUCAAGAAGUGAAUCCAAAGACAGUUCUGCCUUUUGCUGAUAGACUGUACCAGACUUCUCUGCUGUCUGGCCCCUUCUGCUUCUAUUUGUAGAGCUCGGUCACAAAGAGCUGGUCACAAAUGGGAGGCAAGAGCUGAUCCUGAUAUUAAUGGCAGAUAGAGGUAGAGCAUGAGAGACUUGAAGUACAGGGGCU
rnacentral:lncRNA from 1 species